UACAGAGGUCUCAAGCGUUGUUCGGAUUCAUUGGGCGUAAAGGGUGCGUAGGUGGCGCGCUAAGUCAGGUGUGAAAUUUCGGAGCUUAACUCCGAAACUGCAUUUGAUACUGGCAUGCUUGAGGACUGGAGAGGAGACUGGAAUUCACGGUGUAGCAGUGAAAUGCGUAGAGAUCGUGAGGAAGACCUGUGGCGAAGGCGGGUCUCUGGACAGUUCCUGACACUGAGGCACGAAGGCCAGGGGAGCAAACGGG
rnacentral:rRNA from 1 species